rnacentral:pre_miRNA from 1 species
AGCUUUGCGGGGUCGGCAGUCAGCCUGUGUCUGGAAGGAGCAGCUGUGCAAACCCAUGCAAAGCUGA